rnacentral:lncRNA from 1 species
UAUUUGAUUACAUACCUAUUAUUUUUUUUUAUUGUUUUUAUAUCAUGUCAUUGGAUUUGCCAUAUUGGAAAGAAGUUGUGGUUGUUAAUUUGUUAUUGGGUUACUUUAUUGAUAUUUGUCACAGGUACCUUAAAUACUUUAUAUUAAUUCGGAUUCUUACUUCCUCCACAGGAUGAUUCUGGAAUGAAUUUGGAAUUUUGAUUUAUAAAUGAAUUCUUGAGUCCUUCAUAUUUCUUCUUAUGAACUAGUCUGUUAAUGCUCAAAGUUGGUGAAUACGUGGGUUCGAAGUUCAGCAACUGAUCACUGCUAUCCGAUUUCGUAAUCCAUGUCUUUCUUGUCAGAGUAGGCAGAUGUUUAUCCAUGAUAAUAUUUCUGGUUGGGAAAUGGUGUACAACACUUCCUAACCAUUCUUGUGCAAUUGUUCCAAAUAUUCCAGGCACAUUUUCACACGAUAAUAGGGAAGUCUAGUUUGCUUAUUUUAUGUCUCUUAGUUCAUAGUAUAUAGAUGCUUGACUUUCCAUAGACGUAGAGUCGUAAUGUUAGUGAUUAACCCACUGGGACAAAUUAUUGAUUUUCUUUUUAGUAGAUUCCCUCUUCUUUCCUUAGGCAUUAAUUGUUGCUUAGAUUCAGGAAUAUCUCCUGGAUAAUCCUAUGUAUGUUCACAUGAAUAUACAGUCUUAUGAAAGAUUGGGAGCUCGUUCCCGUCAUAUUUUGUAUUUACCAUGGAGUCAUAGAACUUAUAAGUUCAUCCUUUAUUUUUACUAUUUAGUUUCGAUAGGCUCAUAUUACCGGAUGAGGGUAGAUCUAGAGCUAAUUUAGUUAGUUAUUUAGUAUUAGUGAGAAUUGGUCCAUAAAUCUUCCUGAUCGUUCUUCUUUGGAUAUGCUCCUAUAAAUCUGGUGUCCAUUGCUAGUCCGAUUUUGGAUUAAGUGUCCGAUUCUUCACUUAUUUUGUUUAUUUGGUUGUAUAGGUUCGUAUUACCGGAUGUGGGUGUACGUAGACCUAAUUUAUUUAUAUGAUUUAGUAUGGAUGUGAAUUGGUCCAUAAAUCUUCCUGGUCGUUCUUCAUUGGAUAUGCUUUUGUGAAUCUGUUGUCCAUUGAUAGUCUGACUUUGGAUUGAGUGUCUGAUUCCACAUUUAUUUUGGUUAAUGUGUUUGCAUUCCUUUGGUAUGUUCACUAUUUAUAUUAGUUGGUAUUGGUGAAAAUUAUUCUAUAAAUAUUCCUAGUUGUUCUUCUCUGGAUAUGCUAUUACGAAUCUGGUGUCCAUUGCUAGUCCAAUUUAGGAUUGAGUGUUUGAUUCUUCACUUAUUAUAGUUAUUGAUUUCAUUGGUGACUUUAGUAUAUGUACUUGCGUUAUGGUAUGAAUUGGCUCUCACCUUUGCCUGGUUGUUCGUCCUUGGAUAUACUCCUUAUAAAUCUGAUGUCCAUGGAUAGUUCAACUUUGGAUUUACUGCCAAUUCGACACUUAUUUGUCAUUAUAAAUUAUGUCUCAUCUUUAGCACUUUUACUAGGACUUCGGGUCAUAUUUUGCAAUUUCCGUUAUUUGCUGCAGUGACCAUCCUACUUUCCCUUGAUUAUUAGUGGUGAUUAUUUGUAAUCUUGCGAAUCAACGGGGAAUGAUACACUAAGCACUACUACUCUAGUUUAAUAUUUUGAGAAAAAAAAAAAAAAAAAAAAUUUUUUUAAAUAAAAUUUUUUUUCUGGUGGUUGAAAGGGAAUGUGACGUUCCGCCCCUUAUAGAAUCGAUUAUUGAUGGGAAGAUAUUAUUUAACUAUCCAAAAUAUUAUUUAAUUAUUUUCAGAAUUAUUUUCUUUCAAUGUUUAUUCAAAUAGAACUUAAACCCAUCUCAGAAUUUUUAAAUGCUUGAUGACGUCACAUUUAAAACGUGGCAACAUUGGUUUCCCCACUUUGACAGCCAAUGCUUAGUAGAGGGGUACGAAGGAUUCAGCUGUGAACGUGAGCCUUGGAUUGCCAUUGUUUCUCGAGUGUUCGGUCUGAAUCGUAGUGUGCGGGGUCAUUAGACUCAAUUAUUCACCUCUAAUUCUCAGUUCCAAAUUGAUUAAAUAUUACAAUAAAAGUAUAGUGAAGUUAUCCAGCAGCAGUGGAUUUGAAGAAUUUUAGAGCAUACUAUAUCCAAUGAGUUCUACCCCGCACCUACCAUGAAAUCUUAAAGCCACCCUACAACAACACCAAGGCCAGACCACACAGAGAGAAACAAUCAAUAGGCGACCAGCCUGGAUUAUUUCCACAUUUUCUUUUUUUGAGUACCUCCAGCUGCUUUCCAACAGUUUUGAGUACCUUCAGCUGCUUUCUACCAGUCUUCCUCUCCUGUACCUCCAGCAGGACAGCUGCUAGCGAGAGUUAGCACCCUUGGGUGCUCAUUACAUCAACUUCAAGAUUAGGAAAGAGUGGUUUGUUUGGGAACAUUUACUGUGCUCUUAUUAAAGACAGACUGGUUUUGUGAUAUUUAGUACAUUUUUUUUUAUAGUUCAAUUGCACACACAUUUUUCCUGCUUUAUAUUUUUUAUAGGUUUUUUUUUCUUUACAACAUAAUAUUUAAUUGAUAGCGUUCCCCAACACUCUGCAAUCUAUAAAGGUAUAAAUUUCUGAGCUCAGAUAUUUUCCCUGAUAAUAGUAGUCGGUACUCUUAUCUUGAUUAUUUUUAGGCUGUGUUCCACUUUUGUAUAAUUAUUUAAACUCAUUCCAUUAUUUUAGUAUAUGUUUAAUUAAAUUUUUAAAAAUUAACUUCACAUAUUAGUCAAAAUUGUAAUUAUUAACUUUAUUUAACUUGAACUUAUUAACUUUACUUAACUUUAACUUAUUAACUUUAUUUAACUUUAACCUUAAUUUAUUAAAUUCAUAUGAACUUCUGGAUUCUAAUCCCUCAGAUUAGUUUUUGGUUUCACUUGUUAUUAUUACUAUUAUAAACCACGAGUUAGGAAAAGGAUCUGUGUAUCCACUCGUAGGUUUAUUUAUUCAAUAAGGCUUGUGCCUGUCCCACUCACAGUGAGGUAUUUAUAUGUUAUAUAUAGUAUCAGGUAGUAUUUAAUUAAGGUGUACGUAUUAUAAACGUACAAUUAUUAUUUGGUGAGGGUUCUACUAACCUAGUUGUAAGUUGUACUUCCUGUAUUAGAGGUACCCGUAGUCAGUUUUUCUAACCUUAUAAAGAGUAUUCUUAGAUCAUAGUUGUAUGAUGAUUUUGUAAUUGACUUUCACUAGUAUCACUUUUUCCUGUCAUGUUAGAGUUACACACUAGUUACUUGUCCUAACUCAGAGAUUGUUAAAAAGAUCUAGUAGUUACAUUCAAUAAAUAUACAUUUAUUGUGA